UCUGUGCGGAUGGAAGGUUACGCAGUCUGGCCUGUGGGAAGAGCAGUAUCAUCAUAGCAGCUGAUGAUAGCACUAUUAGCUGGGGACCAUCGCCCACAUUUGGAGAGCUGGGGUAUGGUGACAACAAACCCAAGUCAUCCACCACUGCUCAAGAGGUCAAAACUCUGGAUGGCGUGUAAGGUCGAACAGGUG